UGUAUUUAUUAGAUAAAAAACCAAUGCCCUUCGGGGCUCUUUGGUGAUUCAUGAUAACUUAACGGAUCGCAUGGCCUUGCGCCGGCGACGGUUCAUUCAAAUUUCUGCCCUAUCAACUUUCGAUGGUAAGGUAUUGGCUUACCAUGGUUUCAACGGGUAACGGGGAAUUAGGGUUCGAUUCCGGAGAGGGAGCCUGAGAAACGGCUACCACAUCCAAGGAAGGCAGCAGGCGCGCAAAUUACCCAAUCCCGACACGGGGAGGUAGUGACAAUAAAUACUGAUACAGGGCUCUUUUGGGUCUUGUAAUCGGAAUGAGUACAAUUUAAACCCCUUAACGAGGAACAAUUGGAGGGCAAGUCUGGUGCCAGCAGCCGCGGUAAUUCCAGCUCCAAUAGCGUAUAUUAAAGUUGUUGCAGUUAAAAAGCUCGUAGUUGAACCUUGGGCCUGGCUGGCCGGUCCGCCUCACCGCGUGUACUGGUCCGGCCGGGCCUUUCCUUCUGGAGAGCCCCAUGCCCUUCACUGUGGCGUGCGGGGGAACCAGG
rnacentral:rRNA from 1 species